rnacentral:rRNA from 1 species
UACGUAGGUGGCAAGCGUUGUCCGGAUUUAUUGGGUUUAAAGGGUGCGUAGGCGGCCUUAUAAGUCAGUGCUGAAAUAUCCCGGCUUAACCGGGAGGGUGGCAUUGAUACUGUAGGGCUUGAGUGUAGUCGAGGUAGGCGGAAUUGACGGUGUAGCGGUGAAAUGCUUAGAUAUCGUCAAGAACACCGAUAGUGUAGACAGCUUACUAGGCUACAACUGACGCUGUGGCACGAAAGUGUGGGGAUCAAACAGG